rnacentral:rRNA from 1 species
UAAUACGUAGGGUGCGAGCGUUAAUCGGAAUUACUGGGCGUAAAGCGUGCGCAGGCGGUCUGUUAAGACCGAUGUGAAAUCCCCGGGCUUAACCUGGGAACUGCAUUGGUGACUGGCAGGCUUGGAGUGUGGCAGAGGGGGGUAGAAUUCCACGUGUAGCAGUGAAAUGCGUAGAGAUGUGGAGGAAUACCGAUGGCGAAGGCAGCCCCCUGGGCCAACACUGACGCUCAUGCACGAAAGCGUGGGGAGCAAACAGGAUUAGAUACCCUGGUAGUCCACGCCCUAAACGAUGUCAACUAGUUGUUGGGGAUUCAUUUCCUUAGUAACGUAGCUAACGCGUGAAGUUGACCGCCUGGGGAGUACGGUCGCAAGAUU